rnacentral:rRNA from 1 species
UACGUAGGGGGCUAGCGUUGUCCGGAUUUAUUGGGCGUAAAGAGCGUGUAGGCGGCCAGGUAGGUCUGCUGUGAAAACUCGGGGCUCAACCCCGAGCCUGCUUCUGAUACGGGCAGACUAGAGGUAUGCAGGGGAGAACGGAAUUCCUGGUGUAGCGGUGAAAUGCGCAGAUAUCAGGAGGAACACCGGUGGCGAAGGCGGUUCUCUGGGCAUUACCUGACGCUGAGGAGCGAAAGUGUGGGGAGCGAACAGG